AUAGUCCUAAGUAUGCUGUUAUUACAACAAGCUCUGGGUAGUUCUCCUGAGGAUAGGCUUUCUGUAGGAAUAUUUUUGGAAAGGAAUUUGCAGAUAGGAAAUUCAUUUGAAGUCAUGGGUGGAACUGCUGACACCUGUUGCUAGUAGGCCAGCAGGCUGACAUAGCAUUUCCAUGAGCUGGAUAAGCUUACUGGUGAAGUGAUGACAACUGCCAAGGAGGUGAGGUGCUGGGAGUAUGAAAGGAGGAUUUCGAGAGUGCGGAAUCCUCCAAAUGCAAGCAGUCUAGUCAUACAAGAUGAACAGGACAGAUUGCAAGGCAGAAUGGAUAUCAGCACUGAACCAUCAUCAGAAGAGGAAAUAGAAAGAGCAAUGAAGCUGUUUAAAGUGGGAAAGCUGCAGGAACAGACAAUAUAAUGGCUGAGCUGCCAAAAGCUGGCGAGACAAGUGCUAUCAAAGCAUUAAGAAAAAUUAAACAAGAAAGUUGGGAGCAAGAUGACUGGCUGAAGGUGGUAGUUGUGCCAAUCCUGAAGAAAGGAGAUCCUGCUAACUGAAUAACUAGUGGGAUAAGCUUCUUAUCUGUAUAAGGAACAAUCAUGAUGAAAGUAAUUGUCAACAGAUUAAGACCAGUUUUAGAAGAAGUAGAUGAGGAACCGUGUGUGCAGCUUCAGACCAGGCUUAAGUUGCAUCGACCUGAUAUUCAUGCACUGACAUCUGAUGGUGGGGGGUGGGGUGGGGAGGACUAAAGAAGUUGCUGUUUUCAUUUACUUUGAUUUGGUUUGGAGAGAAGCUUUAUGCAAAUUAGUAAAAGUAGAUAGUGUUUCAGAGAGGAUAACUGGAACUAUAAAAGUUGUGUUUGAAGACUCCUGUAAUGCCAAAAGAAUUGGUAGAACAUUAAGCAACUGGUUCCAAUCAAAAUUUGGUAUAAGACAAGGGGGCAUGGAAUCACCAAUGGUUUUCAUUAUAUUCCUAAACCAGACAUUAAAAAGUUAGAUAAGCUAGAUGAUCUAGAAUUUAAAAUCCUUCAUUUAUACAGACAUGGUACAAAUGGCAGAGGUUUGAAUUAAUGAUGCUCUUUGCUACCUUGGAAAAUUUGUCUAGUUCACUUGAAUUCUCAGUAACUGUCUAGAAGACAAAGCUUGCGUCUUGGAAAAGUGACAACAAAGUGUUGAAAUGCAGCACUGGUGAAGAAUGAUCAGAAGUAGAAUCUUGUGUACCUAUGAAAUUUGAUCUGUGCUGAUAGUUCCAUCAAGGAUGUGAUUAAAAGGAGCUGUGCUUUAGCUACAAAUACUGCAUAGAAAUUGAUAAAAUUAUGGACUGAUAAAAAUAUUACAUUUGAUACCAAAGUGGAAAAAAUACCAAACCAGUGUACUAACAGUAUUAUUCUGGUCUGGAAGCAGCGACGUUAAAUGAAAAAGGCAUCACAAAAGAUGGAGAUAGUGGACUUGUUCUUAAUUUGUCUUAAAAUGAUUCCAUGUCACACCUUCCAUUUUCUGAAAUUAAGAGAAUUGGAUGUGAAAUCAAGGUUCAGGAUUUGCUGCUAUCGAAAAGAUUCAGAUGGUGAGGACACUGCAAAAUACAAACAGAUAAUAUAGUGCUAAAGAAAAUAAUGAAAACAUAAUCAAGGUCAGUCUGACCUAGAGGGUGACCAUUGGUUG